GAUAUGCACCACUGUACAGAUAU
rnacentral:siRNA from 1 species